CUAAGUUUCGAAACAACACUGUCUCUCUCUCACUCUCACUCUCACUCUCUCUCUCUCUCUCUCAUGGAGGCGAGUGACGAGUGGCGAAUUUUGGUUUGGACGAGCGGUCAGCAGGACCAUGAUUCUCGACAAGGGUCCGCUUCUCGAGACCGAGCAAAUGUUCUGCGACGCCGGUGAACAGUGGCCUGUUAUUAUCCCCGAGGAGGAGAUCCUCCAAGCAGCCCCUGGUACUAAGAAGGUUCUAUAAGCUUAAAGGCAGUGGAAGGUGUGACGAUCGCAGCACAGCUCCUCCGUGCAUAGGUUGGGUGGAAAUGAUGGCACCUGUGUUCUCAAGAGCAGCCUAGUGAUGUGCAUGGUAUAUGCUCCAGGUAUAGGGUAUUUCUUUUGAAUUGAGUACAUGCAAUGAUCAUAAUGAGUGAAUUGGUUCGCAACGUUUGUCUGGAACAAUGGGUGAGGGUUCUAAAAUAGUAUCAAUGAAUUAUGAUUUCCGUGAGAUUUCUUCUUCACUUUAAUUAGGUUAUUAGGUUAACAUAGGGUCUAUUUUUCAUAUGUAUGUGUAAAGUGUACACGUAAUAAGCAUGGGCACGGACACAAACACUGACAUAGACAAGGGAGAUAGUGAUUUCAAAAAAAUGAGAACACAAACACGGCAAAAAAAAAUAUUUUUUUAAAAUAUUUUUUAU